GGUUAGUGGCAAUCAGAUAGUUUCGUAGUGGUCAAAUACGAAAUAGUUUCCCUGCUUAUCCAUUGCCAUCAAGGACCAUCGUCACCAACGGAACAUCGGCGGUACGAACCACAACGCCUCCUCCAGCAACCCCAAUGACAAUUUCUUUCAUCCUUCCAAUGACCAGGAUAAAAAGGAACCUCCGGAUGGCUCGACCUUCAGAUGGAGUAUGUUCCAAUCGACGUCUCGUUUAAAACGGCCACCUUCAUGGCCAGUAAACAGCACCGGAAGUGGAAACUCCAGUCCUUGUCGCAGUGCGACGAAGUUUUCAAUGAGGUCAUUAACGUGAGACAGGACACUCAGGAUUGUUCAACGUAAAUUGAUCGAUAUUCUGUAUAAAUCCGAAGAGAGGUAUGAAGAAGAGUCCAGCAUCGGAAUGGUCAUCGCUUCUGGAUCAGAGCCCGAGGACGCUCCAAUCCAAACUUCCGAAAACCAAAAACUUGCUCUAAUAUUCAAAAGCCUACUCCGAGUAAGGUCCAAAGCCAGCGGAAAAGCCAUCCUACCAAGACGACCGAAAUCAAACCUCGGUGACCGGGACAGAAUUCGGGAUCAACGUGGAGCGCUCAUUUCAUCCAAUGACCUCGAUGCGGCUGUGGCUAAGGUGCACUAGGUCAAAGUACAUCCCAUGAAUUGCAAGAAGAAGACGCUCCAACCACCCGAACAUCGCUGCUGAACCACUUUCACUCUACAGAAGGAAGUAAAUCUCGGAAACACUUCUUGCAUCGGCGGAUCUUUUCCUGAUGGUUUCGCAUGUCGCUUCCACUCCAUGGAUUCGACUGCAGCAGCAACAACGGGAGCGUCCUCAAGGAGGAUCAGCGUAAUGCCUAUCCAUAAUGUUGACCCACCUAGUAUCCCUUCGGUGCGGAACACUUACUGGAGGAAGCUUGGACAUUACGACCGUUUUCUUGCUAGCGGACUGGACGAAAGUCACCCGAAAGUAUGUGAUUGAUAUGAUUUCAAAUAGAAAUAACAUUAUGUAUUUAUUGUGAAAUUUAAUCUUGUUUAUUGUUGUGGUACCUUGUGGUAUGCACAUAAUAAAUUAUUGUGUUACUUCAUUACGUUUAGCGUGUAUGUUUACAUUGAGUAUCUGUUAUAUGUGGAGAUGUUGUUAUUGUUGUCUGGAGUGUGAAUCAUUGUAUGUAAUAUUGAAGUAUCGGUAAUAAAGUGUAUACAAAUAAUGAAUACAGUUGUUGAAUAAUCAUUACAGAGAAAGAUUCUCACAUUGGCGACGAGAACGGUGAACAGUGCAUGUGAAAUUAGUUUAAUUUCGGUUCGGGAAGUGUUGUCUUUGGAAAAAGAAAGAGAUGAGUGGUGUGUGUGGUGCAUGCAGAGUGGUGAUGACCUUCAGGUGAUGACUUGUGAUUGAAUUUCAACAUUGGAAGCAAAAAGGUACAACCAUAAGUAACAGCCAAGUAAUUUACCAAAAUGCCGAGCAGAGAUGGAUGACCAAAUGGAUGACUGUACUACUAAUUCUGAUGUGAGACUGAAGCGAGACGUUCAUAAACUGAGGAGACUAUAAGCGAAAACAACGUGGAGUGACCUUGCUACGGAUCUGGAGAAAAAACGAGAUGUGGUACCUUGUGGUAUGCACAUAAUAAAUUAUUGUGUUACUUCAUUACGUUUAGCGUGUAUGUUUACAUUGAGUAUCUGUUAUAUGUGGAGAUGUUGUUAUUGUUGUCUGGAGUGUGAAUCAUUGUAUGUAAUAUUGAAGUAUCGGUAAUAAAGUGUAUACAAAUAAUGAA